rnacentral:tmRNA from 1 species
GGGGCCGAUUUGGAUUCGACGCCGGUAACAAAACCUCAGGUGCAUGUCGUGAUGGCAACCAAUCACGUUAAUCCAAAGUUGCACAUUAUUAGUUGCCAACGAUGACAACUACGGUGCUCAACUGGCUGCGUAAGUAGCCCUUUGAAACACCAUCUAGUGGUUCGCCGCUAGCGGUCCUUAACAAGGUGCCUGUACCGCGUUACUGACUGUCAUAUAGAACAGGAUCGCCGUGAAGCCUGCCUGGGGUGGAUCAGCUAAAUUCUUAUCAGGAUCGCCUGCUACGUCUUGGCCACUGGGCUGUAGCGGGUUAAACCAAAUAGUGGAACUAAGCAUGUAGACCCUAAGGCGGAGUGCUGACGGACGGGGGUUCAAAUCCCCCCGGCUCCACCA